ACUACUGCAGCCAAUUAGAAAGCUGUUGAGACUAAGGAGCGAGACGAAUCAGUAUACAUUAUAACGCGCAUGGCAUUAAUCUACAAUUGAAAAUCAUAGUAACAGUUGUGUUUCAUCUGCAAAGAUACAUGAUAACAUACAAAAUUUUUAUUGAUAGUAUAUUUAUUAAAAUUUGUAUAAUCAAUACAAAUUGUGCUUGUUUAAUCAUUAUUAUAUUAAAAUUAAAUAUUAUAGAUUAUCGUUUGAUUGAGUUUUGAAAGUGUAAUAUUUUUUGUACACAUGUUUGCACAUAUGUCAACUAAGAAAUAAUCUUACAAUUUUUAUUCAAAUAUGAUAUUUCUCAAUUUCCAUGACUUCUCAUGACCAUUCACAACAAUAUUAAUGGCAAUGCAGUUUCUUCGCAACUAGUG